GUCAACGUCCAUACCAUGUUGAAAACACCGGUUCUCGUCCGAUCACCGAAGUUAAGCAACAUCGGGCGCGGUCAGUACUUGGAUGGGUGACCGCCUGGGAACACCGCGUGACGUUGACCUUU
rnacentral:rRNA from 1 species